UACUCAUAGCGCCGGAUCACUUGGCUCAUGGAUCGAUGAAGAACGCAGCAAGCUGUGAUAAAUUUUUUUGCGAAUUGCAGACACACGGAGCACCAAAAAUUUCGAACGCACAAACCAGCUAGUGGUAAUGCUUCAAACCAGAAAUAUAUAGCAGUGGCG
rnacentral:rRNA from 1 species